rnacentral:piRNA from 1 species
UGGUUACCUUUAAAGAUGUUGUUGAAGCCU